rnacentral:piRNA from 1 species
UGACAGAUGAGACCUCCAGAUGUUC